UACGAAGGGUGCAAGCGUUACUCGGAAUUACUGGGCGUAAAGCGUGCGUAGGCGGUUUGUUAAGUCUGCUGUGAAAGCCCCGGGCUCAACCUGGGAAUGGCAGUGGAUACUGGCAAGCUAGAGUGCGGUAGAGGGGUGUGGAAUUCCCGGUGUAGCGGUGAAAUGCGUAGAGAUCGGGAGGAACACCAGUGGCGAAGGCGGCACCCUGGACCAGCACUGACACUGAGGCACGAAAGCGUGGGGAGCAAACAGG
rnacentral:rRNA from 1 species